rnacentral:lncRNA from 1 species
UUUUUUUUAACUCUUUAUUUUGAAAUAAUUCCAGAUUUCCAAAAGGUUAGAGAGACAGGCCGGCGUGUGGGCACCCUUCCCCAGAGGACCGCCUCUGAGCGCCACCUGGCCUGCGGGUCCUCAGGCCUCCCAGGACCCUGGCCCCGGCAGGCGCCUCUGAGGCGCACCCGUCUUCCCGUCACAGCUUGUCCCUCGGGCCCGGCUGGCCUGCGUGUUCUCACUACACUGAGGUGAUGCCGUCCUGCCAAGAAAACCGCAGAAGUGACCCUGCACCUUCUCGGGGCGUCAGGUGGCGGGGGUAGGGCCGUGGGGACCACGCCAACCCCUCACUGCUGAGCAGGUGCCUGCAGGGCGGCCUCCAGACCAGCGAAGCUGCUGCACAGCACAUGCCCCCAUCCCAGGCCACCGACACUCCCGGGCUUGCAGGUGGCGUCUCCUGCCCCCAGGCUGGCGGGAACCCAGAGGGGCUGCCCUUCCCGCACCGAGGCUUAGUUACUCGCUUCCAUCAGCACGGACUCCUGGACAGGAGCUUAUUUUGUGGGCUAUACCCCGUUUCCGCCACUUAUGCUGUGCCAAUGGGAGCUCCGAGACCUGUUCUUCAAGAAGCCCCGUCAUGUUUCAGCCAUUCCUUCCCCUAUCCCAUUUUUUUUGGUGGGGGGGUCUUUUGUCUUUUAGGGCAGCACCUGCGGCACAUGGAGGUUCCCAGCCCUAAAAAAAAAUGAAAAGAAAAUACAAAAUAUGUUCGUGAUUCAGUUAACCAAAAACCAAGACUUUUCAUAAACUAACUAAAAAUACGGAAAAAACGUGCAGCACAAUUGGAAGCGUGAGGCAGAGCACGGCUGAGGAGUGACAGACGGAGUGCUUGGCGCUGAACCACCAACGGGGCAGCGGUGCUAGGUGAGGGGCCCCCUCCGCCCCCGGAAAUGGGACCAGGACUGUCGGGGAGGGCGUGACCCCGUACGGCCUCCACCGAAGGACGCGGACAGCGCCUGGACGCAGCCAAGGAGCAGCGCUUCCCAGAGCCCAGCCUGGUCACCAGGCAGAAGCGGAGCUCGGGCUGGCUGUCCCCACCAGCCAAGGCCGGCCCCUGUCCCAGCGGGGACGACCUGGAUCCUCCCACCACCACCUCCCACUGGCCUCGUCCAGGCAAACAGGCCUCACCCUCGGGCACGGCGCCCUGCUGUGGUUCUGAGCCCACGCGGCGUCACCCCAGACACUCGCUGCAGGUCUGCACACCUGUGACGUCUGUUCUGACGGCGCUCCGGGCAGCGGGCACGGGCUGCUGCAGCGCCGGCCGGGGGCUCACGAGCGUCCUCAAAGGCCUGGGAGGCCACAUGUGCAAAACGACUGACCCACGGAGACAUUCUGUCUCUCAGCGACAGCAAAUGCGUUCUUGGAACCAACCCAACAUCUAGUUUUACAAACACGGUCUGAUAUGAACCAGAAAACGAGCCUUGAUCAGACAGAUACUCGGUGCCAGGCGUCACCAUAAAAAAAAAAUCGAGACGUC